AUUUAGUGCUAUUGCUUUAACAUCAAUCGAAGCAAAAAUGGCAUCAAUGUAUGCGUCUAAAAAUGUUAAAUUUAGAUGGAGACAAUCCAGAAAUGAGCUGCCAGGAAGUGAUCGAUUUCGGACACGAAGAUUGAGAAGUGCCUGGAUACAAGGCUAGUAUUGUUAACAUCAUCUGAUACAAUCAACUGGAACAAAGCUGAAAUGGCUGUCUGACCUGACUUAAAAAUUGGAUGGCAGUACAUCAGACUAGAAUAUUACAAGUAUUGAGGUGGACAAAAUGAAACCUGAGCCUACCAAAGCUGACAGAUUGCACAAGAAACACAUAAAUGCAGAUUGGAAGAUUCAUUCUCUGGAAAGUAGAAAAGGGCAUGUUACAUACUGUUAUCACUGCCAUGACAGAAACCAUAUUGAGGAGCUGGUCCACCUGUAGGAAUAAUUGCGCUAUUGGUUGGAG